CACGUAGUUAGCCGGUGCUUCUUAUCCAGGUACCGUCACUUUCGCUUCGUCCCUGACGAAAGGAGUUUACAACCCGAAGGCCGUCAUCCCCCACGCGGCGUCGCUGCAUCAGGCUUGCGCCCAUUGUGCAAUAUUCCCCACUGCUGCCUCCCGUAGGAGUCUGGGCCGUAUCUCAGUCCCAAUGUGGCCGUACACCCUCUCAGGCCGGCUACCCGUCGACGCCUUGGUAGGCCAUUACCCCACCAACAAGCUGAUAGGCCGCGAGCUCAUCCCACACCGAAAAACUUUCCACAAUGGCAUCCAAACCAUCGUCCUAUCCGGUAUUAGACCCAGUUUCCCAGGCUUAUCCCGAAGUGCAGGGCAGAUCACCCACGUGUUACUCACCCGUUCGCCACUCGAGUACCCCUGCAAGCAGGAGCCUUUCCGUUCGACUUGCAUGUGUUAAGCACGCCGCCAGCGUUCAUCCUGAGCCAGGAUCAAACUCU
rnacentral:rRNA from 1 species